AACGCGAAGAACCUUACCAAGGUUUGACAUGCAGGGAAAAGCCGUAGAGAUACGGUGUCCGUAAGGGCCCUGCACAGGUGGUGCAUGGCUGUCGUCAGCUCGUGUCGUGAGAUGUUGGGUUAAGUCCCGCAACGAGCGCAACCCUCGUCCUAUGUUGCCAGCGGGUAAUGCCGGGGACUCAUAGGAGACUGCCGGGGUCAACUCGGAGGAAGGUGGGGAUGACGUCAAGUCCUCAUGCCCCUUAUAUCUUGGGCUGCAAACAUGCUACAAUGGCCAGUACAGAGGGCUGCGAGACCGCAAGGUGGAGCGAAUCUCAAAAAGCUGGUCUCAGUUCGGAUUGGGGUCUGCAACUCGACCCCAUGAAGUCGGAGUCGCUAGUAAUCGCGAAUCAGCAACGUCGCGGUGAAUACGUUCCCGGGCCUUGUA
rnacentral:rRNA from 1 species